AUUGAACGCUGGCGGCAGGCCUAACACAUGCAAGUCGAGCGAGAGGCGGAGGGGUGAGUAAUGUAUGGGGACUGCGCGAGAGAGGGGGAUAACUACUGGCAACGGUAGCUAAUACCGCAUAGUAUCGGAUAACCCAUAUGGGAUUGGCUAGUAGGUGAGGUAAUGGCUCACCUAGGCGACGAUCCCUAGCUGGUCGGAGAGGAUGAGCAGCCACACUGGGACUGAGACACGGCCCAGACUCCUACGGAGGCAGCAGUGGGGAAUAUUGCACAAUGGGCGCAAGCCUGAUGCAGCCAUGCCGCGUGUAUGAAGAAGGCCCUAGGGUUGUAAAGUACUUUCAGUCGGGAGGCGUUACCGACAGAAGAAGCACCGGCUAACUCCGUGCCAGCAGCCGCGGUAAUUC
rnacentral:rRNA from 1 species